AGAAUCAACGCUGGCGGCGUGCCUAACAUAUGCAAGUCGAACGAGAAAGGGGAGCAAUCCCUGAGUAAAGUGGCGACCGGGUGAGUAACACGUGACUAACCUACCCUCGAGUGUGGAAUAACAUCGGGAAACCGAUGCUAAUACCGCAUAACAUCGGCGCUUCUAAGAGAUGCCGAUCAAAGGAGCAAUCCGCUUGAGGAGGGGGUCGCGGCUGAUUAGCUAGUUGGCGGGGUAACGGCCCACCAAGGCGAAGAUCGGUAGCCGGCCUGAGAGGGCGCACGGCCACACUGGAACUGAAACACGGUCCAGACUCCUACGGGAGGCAGCAGUGGGGAAUUUUGCGCAAUGGGGGAAACCCUGACGCAGCAACGCCGCGUGGAGGAUGAAGCCCCUUGGGGCGUAAACUCCUUUCGACCAAGACGAUAAUGACGGUACUGGUGGAAGAAGCACCGGCUAACUCUGUGCCAGCAGCCGCGGUAA
rnacentral:rRNA from 1 species